rnacentral:ribozyme from 1 species
CCAUCCAUCGCUUCUUGUGAUACUACUACUACUACUACUACUACCACUCUUCUACCGAAAGAAAUCAAGCAACUACAAUUAGCUUGACAUUCUUGCUGAUAUCAUACUGUAUUGAAAAACUCUUGUCAUCUGUCAUUUGACUUUUCAUUCCAUUGUCGUGAGAAUUGAAUUGUGAGGAUAUAAUCAAGCAAUCAUCAAUCAGAUCUCUGACAUCUUCAAACAAA